UGUCGUUUUCAAUGACCCACUUCCAAUCUCUAGCCGUAUUCUGCUAAAGAAGUUUAUGUCUAUGAUGGCCUAUAUAGAUCUUGAAAAACCUAGUGCUAAUUAAGGAGGAGAAGAAACCGUCCUGGAAUGCAUGAUCCAGAUGCUGAGGUGAUUGCUUUGUUACCUGAAAUUCUGGUAGAAGUUCAGAAUUAUGUUUGUAGUGUGUGUAAUAAAGAUUACAAACGGAUACAAAAUCUGAAGUUUCACAUGCGAACACAUAACAUUCCGUUGCCGGAGCUCUAGGAGACGUUGAACAGGGGGAGAGGACGUGAGGGAAAAGUGUACAUUUCUCCUGAGCGCAGUUGCAAACAUCACGACCCGAAACAAGCUUUGGGCGAUAUCCGGCCUAGAGAAGAAUUGGAAGUGUCCAAAAUGCCUCAAGAAAUACGCAGAGGAGACCGACGCAAAAGAACACUUCUUUGUGGGUGAGAGAGGAAUAAAAAGAUGUGUAAAUUAUAGCGUGUAAAAUUAAGGUUUUCAUUGGUGUUAUUUUUUAUUUCCAACUAAUUAUGUGUUUGGUUGUGAUUUUGAACAUUAAUGAAAUAAUUUGGUACCUUGAUCUGUA